CUUGUGUGUGUGUGUGUGUGUGUGUGUGUGUGUGUGUGUGUGUGUGCGCGCACGCGCGCGCACGCACACAUGCA
rnacentral:miRNA from 10 species